UACGUAGGUGGCAAGCGAUACUCGGAAUCACUAGGCGUAAAGCGCAGGUAGGAGGUUUGGUAAGUCUCUUGUGAAAGCUCCCGGCUCAACUGGGAGAGGUCAAGGGAAACUACUAGGCUAGAGUGCGGUAGAGGUAGCUGGAAUUCCCGGUGUAGCGGUGAAAUGCGUAGAUAUCGGGAGGAAUACCUAUGGCGAAAGCAGGCUACUGGACCGUCACUGACUCUGAUCUGCGAAAGCUAGGGGAGCAAACAGG
rnacentral:rRNA from 1 species